UAAUGUAGGUAUCUGCCUUUUGGUUUGGAAUAACACGAGGAAACUUGUGCUAAUACCGGAUAAGCCUUCACAGGGAAAGUUUUAACGCCAAAAGAUGAGCCUGCACUUGAUUAGCUAGUUGGUAAGGUAAUGGCUUACCAAGGCUACGAUCAAUAGCUGUUCUUAGAGGAAGAUCAGCCACAUUGGGACUGAGACACGGCCCAAACUCCUACGGGAGGCAGCAGUGGGGAAUCUUGCACAAUGGGGGAAACCCUGAUGCAGCGAUGCCGCGUGAGUGAAGAAGGCCUUUGGGUUGUAAAGCUCUUUCGUCGGGGAAGAAAAUGACUGUACCCGAAUAAGAAGGUCCGGCUAACUUCGUGCCAGCAGCCGCGGUAAUACGAAGGGACCUAGCGUAGUUCGGAAUUACUGGGCUUAAAGAGCACGUAGGUGGUUAAAAAAGUUGGUGGUGAAAUCCCAAGGCUUAACCUUGGAACUGCCACCAAAACUUUUUAGCUAGAGUAUGAUUGAGGUAAGCGGAAUUUCUAGUGUAGAGGUGAAAUUCGUAGAUAUUAGAAAGAACACCAAUUGCGAAGGCAGCUUUCUGGAUCAUUACUGACACUGAGGUGCGAAAGCAUGGGUAGCGAAGAGGAUUAGAUACCCUCGUAGUCCAUGCCGUAAACGAUGUGUGCUA
rnacentral:rRNA from 1 species